rfam:Populus trichocarpa scaffold_4_contig_68, whole genome shotgun sequence.
GCAAUAAUUACCGGGCAAUUACUCUUUUGGCAGCUGGCCACUCAACGGCGGCAGGUGAUCAAAUUCACCAAUGCAAACAAGUAAGCUCGCUGCCAAAGGAGAUUUGCCCCGCAAUUCAUCU